CUACGGGCCGCUGCAGUGAGGAAUUUUGCGCAAUGGGGGAAACCCUGACGCAGCAACGCCGCGUGAGCGAAGAAGGCCUUCGGGUCGUAAAGCUCUGUCAAGUGGGAAAAAAAUUCUUUGAUGAACAGUCAAAGGACUUGAUGGUACCACUGGAGGAAGCACCGGCUAACUCCGUGCCAGCAGGCCGCGGUAAUACGGAGGGUGCAAGCGUUGUUCGGAAUUACUGGGCGUAAAGAGCGUGUAGGCGGUUUGACAAGUCAGAUGUGAAAGCCCCGGGCUCAACCCGGGAAGUGCAUUUGAAACUGUUUCACUAGAGUAUGGGAGAGGAGAUUGGAAUUCCUGGUGUAGAGGUGAAAUUCGUAGAUAUCAGGAGGAACACCCGUGGCGAAGGCGAUUCUCUGGACCAAUACUGACGCUGAGACGCGAAAGCGUGGGGAGCAAACAGGAUUAGAUACCCGAGUAGUC
rnacentral:rRNA from 1 species